UACGAGGGGGGCAAAUGUUGUUCGGAAUCACUGGGCGUAAAGGGAGCGUAGGCGGGUGUUUAAGUUAGGUGUUUAAUCCUGGGGCCCAACCCCAGUCGUGGCACCUAAAACUGGACAUCUUGAAUAGUGGAGAGGUCAGUGGAAUUGGGGGUGUAGCGGUGGAAUGCGUAGAGAUCCCCAAGAACACCAGUUGCGAAGGCGGCUGACUGGACACAUAUUGACGCUGAGGCUCGAAAGCAUGGGGGAGCAAACAGG
rnacentral:rRNA from 1 species